GACGAACGCUGGCGGUGUGCUUAACACAUGCAAGUCGAACGGUAAGGCCCUUUCGGGGGUACACGAGUGGCGAACGGGUGAGUAACACGUGAGUAACCUGCCCUCAUCUCUGGGAUAACAGUCGGAAACGGUUGCUAAUACUGGAUAUGAGCUUGCAAGGCAUCUUGUGGGUUGGAAAGAUUUUUUUUGGUUGGGGAUGGACUCGCGGCCUAUCAGCUUGUUGGUGAGGUAGUGGCUCACCAAGGCUUCGACGGGUAGCCGGCCUGAGAGGGCGACCGGCCACAUUGGGAAUGAGAUACGGCCCAAACUCCUACGGGAGGCAGCAGUGGGGAAUAUUGCACAAUGGACGGAAGUCUGAUGCAGCAACGCCGCGUGCGGGAUGACGGCCUUCGGGUUGUAAACCGCUUUCAAUUGUGACGAAGCUUUUUUGUGACGGUAGCAGUAGAAGAAGCACCGGCUAACUACGUG
rnacentral:rRNA from 1 species